UCUCUCUCUCUCUCUCUCUCUCUCUCUCUCUCUGAUACACCCCUACUCAGGGAUUAUUACCGAUCUGUUAACUGGAUUCUCAUUAGAUUGUGAUCAGCCAUGGAGACACAGUCUGCGGCAGAGUACCCGCAUGAGGCCAUGGAGAAACGGCCUAGGAAGAGACCGAGGUUGACUUGGGAUAUGCCUCCUCUUCUACCUCCCAUGGCACAGUCUUCUCUGUACUGUGGACAGGAAUAUGUGAAUGGCUAUGGUCUAAACUAUGCAUUAUCAUCCUACUACUACAGCGAAUUACCUCGUCAUGUAUCUCCUCCCUGGAGAGCUGAUGAUAAGGAUGGUCAUUACGUGUUUGGAGUUGGCGAGAAUCUAACACCGAGAUAUAGAAUACUCAGCAAAAUGGGAGAAGGUACCUUUGGACGAGUACUAGAAUGUUGGGACUUGGAAAGGAUGGAACCCGUGGCAAUUAAAAUUGUACGUUCAAUUUCGAAAUACCGUGAGGCUGCCAUGAUAGAGAUUGAUGUUCUUCAGAGGCUUGCAAAACAUGAUCUUGGUGGCUCUCGUUGUGUAAGAAUACAGGAUUGGUUUGAUUAUCGUAAUCAUAUAUGUAUUGUUUUUGAGAAGCUUGGUCCAAGCUUAUAUGAUUUUCUUCGGAAAAAUAGUUAUCGUUCAUUCCAGAUUGACCUAGUUCGGGAGCUUGGCAGACAGCUUUUGGAUUCUGUGGCAUUUAUGCAUGACAUGCGGCUUAUUCACACUGAUCUAAAGCCUGAGAACAUCCUUCUUGUUUCAUCCGAGUACAUUAGGGUGCCUGAUUAUAAGAUUCAAACAUCGUCGAGAUACUCUAAGGAUGGUGCAUAUUUCAAGAACAUACCAAAAUCUAGUGCCAUUAAGCUCAUUGACUUUGGGAGUACAUCAUUUGAACAUCAAGAUCAUAAUUAUGUGGUGUCAACACGUCACUACCGUGCACCUGAAGUUAUUCUAGGACUGGGUUGGAACUCUCCUUGUGAUUUAUGGAGUGUUGGCUGUAUCUUGGUUGAGCUUUGCUCGGGAGAGGCACUUUUUCAAACUCAUGAAAACUUGGAACAUCUUGCAAUGAUGGAGAGGGUGUUAGGCCCGCUGCCCAUUCAUAUGAUUAGGAAAGCAGAUAGACACGCCGAAAAAUAUUUUAAGCGAGGCUUACGACUGGAUUGGCCUGAAGGGGCAACAUCUAGGGAAAGCAUGAGGGCAGUUGGAAAAUUACCACGUCUUCAGAACCUUAUAAUGCAACAUGUUGAUCAUUCUGCUGGUGAUCUAAUUGAUCUUCUGCAAGGGCUUCUCCGUUUUGAUCCUGCUGAGCGUCUGAAAGCUCAGGAAGCUCUCUGCCACCCUUUCUUCACCAGAGAUUUUAGAAGGUCUGGUUAUCCUCUGUAAUAGAGAACCUUCACUCACCUUUCUUUAACUGUUUAUGGGAACUAUUGAUAGAAAAUGAAAAUGUGCCAUAUUAGCUAAUAGUUGGACCUCCAUUUUGAGGGUGUGCAAUACCAAUUUAUAGCUGGGUUUUGUGGCUACUGCAACAUGGAAUGUGCAAGGUAUUUGUGCUUGUUUAGCUAAGUCAGCUCUUCUCAGAAAUCGAGUAAAGACAGAUGAGUCAGGCAGUUGGUUUUCUUCAGAAACUUGAAGCCAUGGUGCUGGUUCCAAGGGCCUAUCUGGACCUAAAACUAGUAAAGGUAUGCCUUCGAAUCAUUUAUUUUCCUUAGCCAGAGGGUUGGGUAAGCAUGAUUUUGUCAAACACCAUAAGAAAGAUUGCAUCUAAAUCGUAAAUCACGUUGUAAAUUUCAAUGGCUUGGGGAGAUUUCAUUGUAGAUGGUGCUCAAAGAGUUGCAGCAGGGCAAGCUUUUUAGGAUAUUAAGGAAAACAUUAGAUGAGGAUAUCAAAUUUAGACUAAAAUUUAAAAUUAUUAGAUUUAAUUUGAGAUGAGAAUGUUAUAAAUUUUGAUCUAUUAUUUAUAUAUUAUACUCAUCUUAAAGUAAAUUUAAUAGGUUUAAUACUCAUCUUCACUAAAUCUUGAGCAAGGUAUUGUAACUUUAUUUUUUUCCUGAUAUUAAUCUUUUCAUUUUCACUAGAUUGCUGAUUAGCUUAUAUCUGUAGUGUUCAGGGUUCAUUUGGGACGGCUUUCUUAUUGCUUCUUGAAGUGUUAAUUUUUGUACUAAAAAGUUGUUUUAAGAAGCAAUAAAAAAACCGUCCGAAAUGAAGCCCUGAAGCCCCAGUGUUAUUGAGAUAUUAUGACUUAAGUGACGCAUUCUUUUUUAUUUUGUGGAAUGCCACUUUUUGAUAAGCUGCCGAAUGCAUGGAAAAAGUUUUUUUUUUUUUUUUUCAUAUUUUAUCAUUCAUAUGAAGAGGGGACAAAUCAUUUUCUUAGAAGGCAUACUAUAAAUUUUGAGACAUCAAUAAUAAAUGUUUGAUAAAAAAAAGUUUAGUAUAAUUAUUUUAAAUAUUUUUUAAUAAAGAGUGGAGUUGUGGGGGCAAGUGCCCUCAUUUAUCAUCAUUGGUCGCUAAAACAUACUUUUAGCGACCAUUUUACUUUGGUCUCUAAACUUUUUGUCGCUAAUGAUCUGUUUUCUUGUAGUGUCAUUUGUGCGAGAAAUUAUUCUGUGCGGAUGCCGAAUGCAGUUCAUUGUUCGGGGACCAACAAGAAUGCGUCAUGUUAGCAGUACCGAGCCGUAAUGACCUGACGCAUUUUGAUUAAUCUCUGGACCGCGUUCGGCGUCCGCACAGAAUAAUUUUCACAUUUGUGCUCCUCAACUCUCGUUUUAAGGCCUAAGUUAAUUUCCAGCAAUAUCGUGUCAUAGUGGGUAAUUUGUCUUUGGGUCCUCGUUUCAUGCUGUCAGCCUGCAACAAUGAAUUCUUCAAAUUAUGUAUUCUGAAUGGCUACGGGAUGGGAUCAGCAUGGGGCUUAUGCUCUCCUCUCCCAUUUCUAUUCAAAAAUUCUCUGCCGCUCCUACCCUCGUAGGAGUUCAGGAGAUCAGUUCUUGAUUAGUGUAUUCUUUGUUUAUAUUUGAAAUUUAGGUUUCGUUUGGGACAGUUAUUUUUUUAUUAUUUUUUAAAGUAGUUUUCGAAUAAAAAUUUUUAAUUUUGUAUUAAAAAAAUAUUUUUAAAAAAUCAUAAAAAAACCGUCCCAUCCGAAGCCUUAGUUUAAGUGAACUAGGUUCAAUUCAGUUUUAUGGAGCUCUAUGAAUGAAGAAUACAGAUACAGUUAUGCGUAGUUGUAUGUAUAUUUAUAUCUAUAUUUAUAUUUGAGUAACUGUAUUUUUUUGCAGUGAUAGUAGUAUUCUAUUGUGUUUCAUUUA